UACGUAGGGUGCAAGCGUUGUCCGGAAUUAUUGGGCGUAAAGAGCUCGUAGGCGGUCUGUCGCGUCGGCUGUGAAAACCCGAGGCUCAACCUCGGGCCUGCAGUCGAUACGGGCAAACUAGAGUACUGCAGGGGAGACUGGAAUUCCUGGUGUAGCGGUGAAAUGCGUAGAUAUCAAGUGGAACACCAGUGGCGAAGGCGAGUCUCUGGACAUUUCCUGACGCUGAGGCACGAAAGCCAGAGGAGCAAACGGG
rnacentral:rRNA from 1 species